rnacentral:rRNA from 1 species
UACGUAGGGGGCAAGCGUUGUCCGGAAUCAUUGGGCGUAAAGCGUGCGCAGGCGGUUCGUUAUGUCCGUUGUGAAAGCCCCGGGCUCAACCUGGGAAUGGCAAUGGAAACUGGCGGGCUAGAGUGUGGCAGAGGGGGGUGGAAUUCCGCGUGUAGCAGUGAAAUGCGUAGAGAUGCGGAGGAACACCGAUGGCGAAGGCAGCCCCCUGGGCUAGCACUGACGCUCAGGCACGAAAGCGUGGGGAGCAAACAGG